CUUGAGAUUUUGGCGCAGGGGUUUCGGCGAUUAUUUUUAACCGAAAGCGAGCAACAAACAUUUGGUCGGCGCACUCAAUGAAAAUAUUUUCGCUAAAUCCACAAAAUGCCGAAUUCCAUAAAUUCUUCGCGGCCCGUUUGUGCGAGAGCGGGAGAGAAUAAAUAAGUUAGCGGGCGAGCGGAAACGAGAUGGAGAACGGCACUAUUUUGGCAAUUGCAGCAUCCGCGGAAAUCUCUAUUUCUAUAAUUAUUAUUCUGCUUUGCGUUGUGGCACUUGGAAAACAAAUGAACUACACUUGCCGCGAUCACUCACUCGGAUUUCGGUUUUGUUUCGUUUUAAUUUUUCGAUAUUCUCGUUCACGCUAAAAUCGAAAAACCGAAAAUCGAGAAUCCCGCGCGGCGGUGAGAGAAAAACACGGAGAGCUCCGGCUGCCGCUCAAUCGGAAGAGAAAAAACAAACUGGCAAAAGCAGCGGUAAAUCCAAUGCAUUUGCGGGCAGCGCGACGGCAGCGCAGUCGCCGCUGUAUUGAAAACAAAAUGGCAUUUUCUUGCAUCGCGCCAUCUCCCUCGCACGGCAGUCAUAUGACCGCAGCGGGAGCGAGACGACUGGUGUGCGGCAGUUGCCAAGCACCGCCCACUUGAUUGCUGCCGCAUUCAGCGUUGUGUUGUUGUUUCCAGGUUUCCAACUAACGAUGCCACAUCGGUGUGAAAAUAAAAUGGAGUGCGUCUCAAUUGUGUCCUCAAGUAGACGAAACUCCUGCUGUUUCUCUCUGAUUUUAAAGUUCGACAAACAGAUUGAAAGGAAUUCGCAUUCAUCCGGGGCCUUCUACUUCGUCCUUUUGUUCCUCGCCUUGCCUUUCCGCAAUGAAAAGUAUGCGCCAACUGUGUCAACAGUGUUUGCAGUGCCCCCGCAAUCCUUGUUUUCCAGUCCCCUUCCCAGCCCCUCAGCCCUCCUCAACCGAGAAGUUUCCGUAUUGAUAAUAAUCUGAUUGCAAAUGAAUACAAUUUAUUGUGCUGUUCAUUCGCCUUCAUUUCGCCGCGGAUUGUGUGUUGACAAGGUGUGGAUGCGAAAAAGUGAAAGACUGGUCUACUACACCUUUAAUUGUUAGAUUUUUGAUAGAAACGUGUAAGAAAGGUGAAAAAUCUGUGGUUUAUAUCGCAAUAGAAGACAUCGUGCUAGGAUGGAAAACAGUUCAAAAACGGCGCUCUGAGGAUCUGCACUUCCAUUCUUCCAUUUUCAAAUUCCGGAAAAAUCACAUGUUUUUUUUGUGACAACUAAUUAAUUUUGUUAUUUAUGUUUUUCGCUUUGUCUUUACUAAAUAUGCAAAACGUGUUUUACGUUAGACGUUAGCAGGGUCUUAUAAAAUGUUGUGAAUAAACUUCUAAAAUUAAGAAGGAAAUAAUGUUCAUUCGGAAAAACUACUUAAGAAAAACUUUUCCAGUAACAAAAGACAUGGCCGACGGGACUUUAGGAGGGGAUUAUUUGAGGGAUUCUCAAAGUAUUUAAGAUAGUCAGCCUUAUAGAUGGUCAUCAAUACAAAUAUAAAGGAAACACAAGAGGUGAAAACUAAACUUAUGACAAUUAAAUAUUAUACAUACAUAUGUACAUAAAAUUAUUAGAACUAUAAUUAUUCUAAAAAUACAUAUUAACGAAGCCUAAUAAAACGCAGUGAACCAAAUUAAUCAAAAUAUUUGUUUUUAGCAUUAAUUAAUUCAAUCAUUUAACAUUAACAUAAUGAGUUAUAAAUCUCAUUGACCAAAAACAUUUUAAUAAACUGCAAAACUCUAAUCUAAAUACUUUUUACAGACCCUAAAACUAUGCAACAAAAAUAUAUUAAAAAUGAAUACCUACUCCACUUUAAUCUUAUACCUUUUGACCCAUUUCUAAAUCACAAACCAACAGAUUAAAAACAAUUAUUAAAGUACAAAACAUACGCGCAAAUAUUUAUUUUUUACGAGUUUCCAAAUAAAUUUGACUCUAGGCAGUCUUCCCGUACAUUUUUCUCGUUGUUUAACAACUUCGCAGCAUGUUA